rnacentral:rRNA from 1 species
UGGUCUCAGUUCGGACUGUAGGCUGCAACUCGCCUACACGAAGUUGGAAUUGCUAGUAAUCGUGGAUCAGCAUGCCACGGUGAAUACGUUCCCGGGUCUUGUACACACCGCCCGUCACACCAUGGGAGCUGGUAACACCCGAAGUCAGUAGUCUAACCGCAAGGAGGACGCUGCCGAAGGUGGGAUUAGCGACUGGGGUGAAGUCGUAACAAGGUAAC